AUGCGGUUUGGUGGGAGACGGAGAAAUGGGCGAAACGGGAAGUGUUGUGAAGUGAGAAGGAGGUUGGUAGUUCGAAAAAGAUAUGGAAGGUCCCGAUUAAGUGUAAUAACAAUCAUACCAUGUUUCCUCAACAGUAGUGUGAAUCGGUCAACCUCUCCAUGUGCCAUUUGGAUUUCGUGCAGAGUCGAUAGGAGAGCAACGAGGGUAGCACUAGUAGACACAGAUUCACUCAAUGAUAAUCAACUCAAAAAUACAACAAAGGAAUAA